AUGGGUGGGGUACUUGGUUUGAUACAGAUUGAUCAAUCAACAGUAGCCAUCAAGGAGACUUUUGGGAAGUUUGAUGCGAUCCUGCAACCUGGAUGCCACUGCUUGCCAUGGUGCCUAGGGCAGCAGAUUGCUGGAUAUCUUUCUCUGCGUGUGCAGCAGCUUGACGUCCGAUGCGAAACCAAGACCAAGGAUAAUGUCUUUGUCAACGUUGUGGCAUCUGUGCAGUACCGUGCUCUUGCUGACAAGGCAUCUGAUGCCUUUUACAGGCUUAGCAACACCAGGGAGCAAAUCCAGUCCUAUGUCUUUGAUGUGAUCAGGGCUAGCGUUCCAAAGAUGAACUUGGAUGAUGUAUUUGAGCAGAAGAAUGAAAUAGCAAGGGCUGUGGAGGAUGAACUUGAAAAGGCAAUGUCUGCCUACGGGUACGAGAUUGUGCAAACUCUGAUUGUUGAUAUUGAGCCAGAUGAACAUGUGAAGAGAGCCAUGAAUGAGAUCAAUGCAGCUGCUAGGAUGAGGUUGGCAGCCACUGAGAAAGCCGAGGCGGAAAAGAUUCUGCAGAUCAAGAGGGCUGAAGGUGAGGCAGAAUCGAAAUACUUGGCUGGUGUGGGUAUUGCAAGGCAGCGCCAGGCCAUAGUGGACGGGCUGAGAGACAGUGUUCUCGCCUUCUCUGAGAAUGUGCCUGGGACCUCUUCGAAGGAUGUCAUGGAUAUGGUUUUGGUGACCCAGUACUUCGAUACCAUGAAGGACAUUGGGGCCUCUUCCAAGUCUUCAGCAGUGUUCAUCCCUCACGGGCCUGGCGCUGUCAAAGACAUCGCUUCGCAGAUACGAGAUGGUCAGCUCCAGGGCAGGAUGGUUUGA
rnacentral:rRNA from 1 species